rnacentral:rRNA from 1 species
AUUGAACGCUGGCGGCAAGCCUAACACAUGCAAGUCGAACGAGUGGCGGACGGGUGAGUAAGGUCUGGGAAACUGCCUGAUGGAGGGGGAUAACUACUGGAAACGGUAGCUAAUACCGCAUACCAUCGGAUGUGCCCAGAUGGGAUGAGCUAGUAGGUGGGGUAAAGGCUCACCUAGGCGACGAUCCCUAGCUGGUCUGAGAGGAUGACCAGCCACCCUGGAACGGAGAGACGGUCCAGACGCCUACGUGAGGAAGCAGUGGGGAAGAUUGCACAAUGGGCGCAAGCCUGAUGUAGCCAUGCCGCGUGUAUGAAGAAGGCCUGCGGGUUGUAAAGUACUUGCAGCGGGGAGGCGUUACCCGCAGAAGAAGCACCGGCUAACUCCGUGCCAGCAGCCGCGGUAAUUC